UGGGGAAUAUUGCACAAUGGAGGGAACUCUGAUGCAGCGACGCCGCGUGAACGAAGAAGGCUUUCGAGUCGUAAAGUUCUUUUAUAUGGGAAGAUAAUGACGGUACCAUAAGAAAAAGCCCCGGCUAACUACGUGCCAGCAGCCGCGGUAAUACGUAGGGGGCUAGCGUUGUCCGGAAUCACUGGGCGUAAAGGGUUCGCAGGCGGAAAUGCAAGUCAGGUGUAAAAGGCAGUAGCUUAACUACUGUAAGCAUUUGAAACUGCAUAUCUUGAGAAGAGUAGAGGUAAGUGGAAUUUUUAGUGUAGCGGUGAAAUGCGUAGAUAUUAAAAAGAAUACCGGUGGCGAAGGCGACUUACUGGGCUCAUUCUGACGCUGAGGAACGAAAGCGUGGGUAGCAAGCAGG
rnacentral:rRNA from 2 species